GGCCAGAGACAUAUCUGCAGUUCUCACCUGGUUUCCUGCUGAAGCUAAGCAGGAUUGAGCUUGGCCAGUAUCUGGAUGGGAGACCUUGUGGGGAAUAUUAAGGUUGCUGCUGC
rnacentral:rRNA from 1 species